CUGGAAGUGGGGUUUCUCAGCCCGGAUUGUGAGAGGGUGCAGUCCAGGCCGAGGGAACUCACCAGUGCAUG
rfam:Myotis lucifugus cont2.51705, whole genome shotgun sequence.